ensembl:snoRNA LOC120102104 small nucleolar RNA U85
GUUUUAAGAAAUUUGUGUUAGAAGCCAAAUAAGAGAAGUGCAUAUCAGGUCUGUAAUCUUGGUAGAGACAGUUAUGUGCAUCCACUGCAAGUGAUGUGCAGACCAACAAACACUUUUCCUACCGUGAACCACCUCGCUGCCAUUGAGGAAAUUCUUCAGUUGCCACAGGGAAGCUGUAAAUUGGAAUGGAGUUAUAAACAGGUCAUAUUACCAGGGUCACUGGUCUCAAGGGCAUGACUGUGUCACGGCCGCUGACAGAUGAAGUGCAUAUAUUUGGUGAUCUGAUGGCU